rnacentral:misc_RNA from 1 species
AAUUCUCAAGUCCACACUUUGUUGUGGCUUGGAUAGUUGGGUGUUGCUGGCUUUUUUAAUUUUCAGCUCAUCUUAAAUGUAUAAGUGGGAUUUUUUCUAGAAACUUGUUAGGUGUUGUAAAUAAUCAAUUCAUCUAUGUUUCUAAAAUAUGCUUGCUUCUAACAAAACCCUUUGAUGA